GACGAACGCUGGCGGCGUGCUUAACACAUGCAAGUCGAACGGAAAGGCCCUGCUUGCCGGGUACUCGAGUGGCGAACGGGUGAGUAACACGUGGGUUAUCUGCCCUGCACUUCGGGAUAAGCCUGGGAAACUGGGUCUAAUACCGGAUAGGAGCCAUUUUUAGUGUGAUGGUUGGAAAGUUUUUUCGGUGUAGGAUGAGCUCGCGGCCUAUCAGCUUGUUGGUGGGGUAAUGGCCUACCAAGGCGGCGACGGGUAGCCGGCCUGAGAGGGUGGACAGCCACAUUGGGACUGAGAUACGGCCCAGACUCCUACGGGAGGCAGCAGUGGGGAAUAUUGCACAAUGGGCGCAAGCCUGAUGCAGCGACGCCGCGUGGGGGAUGACGGCCUUCGGGUUGUAAACUCCUUUCGCUAGGGACGAAGCUUUUUGUGACGGUACCUAGAUAAGAAGCACCGGCUAACUACGU
rnacentral:rRNA from 1 species